UUUGACAGCAAUAUAUUUUAAUGACGGGAAGGUUCACACUUUAAUCCAUAAUCCAAUUCAUAUUCCUGUUUCUCAAGCACUUGUCUGCUUGUUUAUAAGCUGAUCUGGUGGAUGGGUUUUAGUCCAAUCUUAAAGAAUCAAAGAAAUUCCGUUCUUUAGCUUUGAUUGUUCAUGACGGAUUCGGUGUACGUAGGUUUCCUCUUCGGAUGAAUCCGAAACCUUCCCACUUUCGCUCAUUAAAGUCAUCGUAACCAUAACCUGCGCUCUUGUUAUAUAAACACCCAUCAGAAUCUGGACUGUGAUUCAUUUUAGGUCCCAAAUGUUUAACAGUAGUUGAUUUGAAUGAUUGUUGAUACACGCCUUGAAUUACUGUAAUGAAGGGAGAUCGUAUCCUGUUAUUCUGGUUAUGGAUAAACUGCAGUGUAUUGUUAUUUACAGGCCAAGUGGAAAUCAAUUUCAAAUUUCUGCUCCAAAUUUGGCCAAGUUCUGCCUGCCUGGUAUAGCCCCAUGUUAGAGAGAAGGAGGGGUGUUCUUUGUCCCAAAGAGUGCAAACUGCAGGAGGAGUUUCUGUUACUGGAUCUUGCACUUGGCUGUAUAGCACAGUUUGAAUUUCCAGCACAGCUCCACAUCAUUAUUAAACAUUUGCUUGAACUUAUAUAGUCUAAAGUAUGUCCUGAGUUCUUCAAAAGUAAGUGAUUUCAUGAUUCUGUUGGUUUCCAGAAGACUCUUUUUAACUUUCCCAUUAUGGCACCUCAACCUUGUGUUUCUUGUUCUUUUUCUUUACAGUUCUCUUGGCAUCAGCGAGGUAUUUGUGACUAAAGAA
ensembl:lncRNA